UAAUGAAACUGUUUUAGUUUUUCUUAAGCUCAUAUCAAGCCGAGUUCAAUUUACUGAUAUAUUCCAAAAGAAAUAAAUAGGUUUCCUAAUAUUUAAGUAAAUAAUUUUUGCAAUUAAGUGCUUUACUUGUUGACAAUUUUAUCUACAUACAUAUGUUCAGAUGAUUCAGAUAACUAGUCAUGAACUAAUACAGGAACUUCAGCAUAGAAGAAAGCAUGGCAGAAUAAGAAUAAUGUAACAACAAAAAAGUGUAACACAUGGUAUAAUGUUUGGAGACAAGCAGUGGAAGCAUGCAUUAAUUUAUCAAAAAUGUUAUGUUAAAAUGAUUUAAAACGCUAAUAAAUGAUUUGAUUCCCUCAA